GUGGGGAAUUUUGGACAAUGGGCGCAAGCCUGAUCCAGCAAUGCCGCGUGUGUGAAGAAGGCCUUCGGGUUGUAAAGCACUUUUGUCCGGAAAGAAAUCUCUUGGGUUAAUACCUCGGGGGGAUGACGGUACCGGAAGAAUAAGCACCGGCUAACUACGUGCCAGCAGCCGCGGUAAUACGUAGGGUGCGAGCGUUAAUCGGAAUUACUGGGCGUAAAGCGUGCGCAGGCGGCUCUGCAAGACAGAUGUGAAAGCCCCGGGCUCAACCUGGGAACUGCAUUUGUGACUGCAAGGCUAGAGUGCGUCAGAGGGAGGUGGAAUUCCGCGUGUAGCAGUGAAAUGCGUAGAGAUGCGGAGGAACACCGAUGGCGAAGGCAGCCUCCUGGGAUGACACUGACGCUCAUGCACGAAAGCGUGGGGAGCAAACAGGAUUAGAAACCCGGGUAGUCC
rnacentral:rRNA from 1 species